rnacentral:rRNA from 1 species
UACGGGGGGGGCAAGCGUUGUUCGGAAUUACUGGGCGUAAAGGGCUCGUAGGCGGCCAACUAAGUCAGACGUGAAAUCCCUCGGCUUAACCGGGGAACUGCAUCUGAUACUGGAUGGCUUGAGUUCGGGAGAGGGAUGCGGAAUUCCAGGUGUAGCGGUGAAAUGCGUAGAUAUCGGGAGGAACAUCAGUGGCGAAGGCGGCUACCUGGCCCAAUACUGACACUCAGGUGCGACAGCGUGGGGAGCAAACAGG